GUAAGAGUAUUGAUUUAGUAUAGUUUCAGUGGAUACAUCGCCAUCUUAAGGAGGCUACUUGGUAAGUUGAGUCUAAUAUGAGGUGUACCUCCAACCUUUUACUACGUCAGGUACUCUAUUUGCCUUUUAGUUCGACGACGAACUUUUGUUUUAGUGGUAAAUAAUGUAAUGACCUUGAUUGAGCAAAUUUCCAUUUCAUGUGUUUCAACUAUUUUUCCCUUCCACCUAGUUUUAUAUGCUAUUAGUAAGUUGUGGGGAUGGUAGACAUGAUUUUUAAUGCAUUCGUGCAUAUUUUGGC
rnacentral:lncRNA from 1 species